rnacentral:rRNA from 1 species
UGGGGAAUUUUGGACAAUGGGCGCAAGCCUGAUCCAGCCAUGCCGCGUGAGUGAAGAAGGCCUUCGGGUUGUAAAGCUCUUUCAGACGGAAAGAAAUCGGUGUGUCUAAUACACGCACUGGAUGACGGUACCGUAAGAAGAAGCACCGGCUAACUACGUGCCAGCAGCCGCGGUAAUACGUAGGGUGCGAGCGUUAAUCGGAAUUACUGGGCGUAAAGCGUGCGCAGGCGGUUAUGUAAGACAGAUGUGAAAUCCCCGGGCUCAACCUGGGAACUGCGUUUGUGACUGCAUAACUAGAGUACGGCAGAGGGAGGUGGAAUUCCACGUGUAGCAGUGAAAUGCGUAGAGAUGUGGAGGAACACCGAUGGCGAAGGCAGCCUCCUGGGCCAGUACUGACGCUCAUGCACGAAAGCGUGGGGAGCAAACAGG